rnacentral:rRNA from 1 species
AGUAGUUUGAUCCUGGCUCGAGGACGAACGCUGGCGGCGCGCCUAACACAUGCAAGUCGAACGAAGAGUGGUUUUUGAUUCCUUCGGGAUGAUUAUUCCAUUUCUUAGUGGCGGACGGGUGAGUAACACGUGAGCAACCUGCCUUGCAGUGGGGGAUAACGGUUGGAAACGAUCGCUAAUACCUCAUAAUAUAUGAUUGUCGCAUGGCUUUCAUAUCAAAGUUUUUCGCUGCAAGAUGGGCUCGCGUCUGAUUAGGUUGCAGGCGGGGUAACGGCCCACCUGGCCGACGAUCAGUAGGGGUUCUGAGAGGAAGGUCCCCCACAUUGGAACUGAGACACGGUCCAAACUCC